rnacentral:pre_miRNA from 1 species
GGCAGCUUUUGCCUUAGCAAAUGUUGGUUCAACGUUUUCAUAUUCAUCUGCAAGGCAAAGUGCUGUCGC